rnacentral:rRNA from 1 species
AUUGAACGCUGGCGGCAUGCCUUACACAUGCAAGUCGAACGGCAGCAUGGAGAGCUUGCCCUCUGAUGGCGAGUGGCGAACGGGUGAGUAAUGCAUCGGAACGUACCGUGUAAUGGGGGAUAACGUAGCGAAAGUUACGCUAAUACCGCAUACGACCUGAGGGUGAAAGCAGGGGAUCGCAAGACCUUGCGUUAUACGAGCGGCCGAUGUCAGAUUAGCUAGUUGGUGAGGUAAAGGCUCACCAAGGCGACGAACUGUAGCGGGUCUGAGAGGAUGAUCCGCCACCCUGGGACUGAGACACGGCCCAGACUCCUACGGGAGGCAGCAGUGGGGAAUUUUGGACAAUGGGGGCAACCCUGAUCCAGCCAUGCCGCGUGAGUGAAGAAGGCCUUCGGGUUGUAAAGCUCUUUCGGCCGGGAAGAAAUCGCACAGGCUAAUACUCUGUGUGGAUGACGGUACCGGCAUAAGAAGCACCGGCUAACUACGUGCCAGCCGCCGCCGUAA